ACCUAGCUGGCUCAAUUGGUGGAGUGUGUGACUCUUGAUCUCAGGGUUGUGGGUUGGAGUCCGACAUUAGGUG
rnacentral:tRNA from 1 species